UGGGGGAAACCCUGACGCAGCAACGCCGCGUGAGUGAGGAAGGUCUUCGGGUCGUAAAGCUCUGUCAGGCGGGAAGAAAUGCAUGGAGGUGAACAGCCGCCAUGCUUGACGGUAUCGCCAGAGGAAGCACCGGCUAACUCCGUGCCAGCAGCCGCGGUAAUACGGGGGGUGAAAGCGUUGCUCGGAAUCAUUGGGCGUAAAGUGCGGAUAGGCGGCGUGGUAAGUCAGAUGUGAAAGCACGG
rnacentral:rRNA from 1 species